rnacentral:rRNA from 1 species
UAAGGAAUAUUGGUCAAUGGGCGCAAGCCUGAACCAGCCAUGCCGCGUGCAGGAUGACUGCCCUAUGGGUUGUAAACUGCUUUUAUCCGGGAAUAACCCCCUCUACGAGUAGAGGGCUGAAUGUACCGGAAGAAUAAGGAUCGGCUAACUCCGUGCCAGCAGCCGCGGUAAUACGGAGGAUCCGAGCGUUAUCCGGAUUUAUUGGGUUUAAAGGGUGCGUAGGCGGCCUGUUAAGUCAGGAGUGAAAGACGGCAGCUCAACUGUCGCAGUGCUCUUGAUACUGACGGGCUUGAAUGCCGUUGAAGAUGGCGGAAUGAGACAAGUAGCGGUGAAAUGCAUAGAUAUCACGCAGAACUCCGAUUGCGAAGGCAGCGUACCGGCGCCCAACUGACGCUGAAGCACGAAGGCGUGGGUAUCGAACAGGAUUAGAUACCC